rnacentral:lncRNA from 1 species
GCUUUAUGUAAGCUUUACAGGUGCAUGCAUGUGAAGGUAUGUGGUUUUAUCUAGCUGUGUUUGGUUUGGCAUUUGAAUUUGGUUUUGUAGGUGAUUUAGCAUUUUUUUUAAUCUGGGUUUUGUGUGGGUUUGCAUUAGAACUGUGUUUUGUGGAAUUAUAUAUGGGAAGUAGUUAGAUUUAGCAAAUCGUGUUAUGCAUCUGUUAGUAUAUAUCAUUUUUUGCUUUGUUGUUAUUUCUGUGAGCAAUUUUUCAUUUGGUGUCUUUAUGAACACUUCUUUUUUCUUCUUUUUUUCAUUCCAGGUGUAGCAUCUCUCUUAUUCAUACUGUAUUGGAUUAUUGUAUGGAGUUGAUUCUGUCUUAUUUCGAUGAGGUCAGGUGAAGAAGGUAGGUAACUCAGAGCAAAGGAAGAGGGGGACGGGAACAAUCGGUGUGGGUGGCCGUGAUACUUAAUUUCAUAGCCAAUUUAGACUCUGGAGCCUCGAAUAUCAUAUGGGUUUUAUCUGUUUCAGGUAUUUGGGGGUUUAAUUUUGAGAUAGGUUCAUGAUCUUCAUAGUCUCUGCAAGCCAGAUCACUGGGACAGUUAGCAAUGAAUUUCUUGAGUUCUGUGAUGUCUUUGGCAUCGUUUAUAUUUGAAGUUUGAUCAUGUCUAGCUCAUAAUUGUUGAAUGGAAUCAUAUAUCCCAAUUUCAACUGUACCAAUGAUAGCACAGUGAAACAAAUGUUCAAUUGAUAGGUGUAUCAAUACGUAAUGGAAGAGAAAUCCUUUUAAAGGACGAUUGGAGAAGGUUAGAGGAGCCUUAUGGAAGUAUAUUCAUAAGUAUUCCAACUGUUCUUGAUUCAUCGUUGGCUCCAGAAGGGCACCGUAUUCUUCAUAUUUACGACCUCUUCCAUUGAAGACUGGGAGGGACUUCUCUCGAAAGGACUAUGAAUCAAAGAAGGAGCUUAUGGCAGAUGUCAUCAUUAGCAGAUUAGAGAAGAUACUAUUUCCAGGGCUUAAGUCAUCCAUCGUUUUUAAGGAGGUAAUGCUUACAGUAUUGAUUCCAAUCAUUGUGAGCUAUGGGUGUUGAUUCGUAUUGAAUAAAGGGUUGGUUGAAACUUGAACUUAUUGUGGUUUAAGUAAACUUACAAUUCCUGUAUCCAACUUCCUUUUGGCACAUUGCAGUAUUAAACAUGUCCAUUGCUCUGGCUAUUGCUAUUUGGGAUAUAAAAAAAAUUUAUAUCCUUUUUUCAUUAUGAAACUUGCCUCCUUUAUAAUUUCUGACUUUUACUGUCUCUUUCAUAAUUUCUUACUU